GACGAACGCUGGCGGCGUGCCUAAUACAUGCAAGUCGAGCGCAGGAAGCCGUUCCGAACCCUUCGGGGGGACGACGGUGGAAUGAGCGGCGGUCGGGUGAGUAACACGUAAAGAACCUGCCCAUAGGUCUGGGAUAACCACGAGAAAUCGGGGCUAAUACCGGAUGUGUCAUCGGACCGCAUGGUCCGCUGAUGAAAGGCGCUCCGGCGUCGCCCAUGGAUGGCUUUGCGGUGCAUUAGCUAGUUGGUGGGGUAACGGCCCACCAAGGCGACGAUGCAUAGCCGACCUGGGAGGGUGAGCGGCCACACUGGGACUGAGACACGGCCCAGACUCCUACGGGAGGCAGCAGUAGGGAAUCUUCCACGAUGGACGAAAGUCUGAUGGAGCAACGCCGCGUGAACGAUGAAGGCUUUCGGGUCGUAAAGUUCUGUUGUAAGGGAAGAACAAGUGCCGCAGGCAAUGGCGGCACCUUGACGGUACCUUGCGAGAAAGCCACGGCUAACUACGUGCCAGCCGCCGCCGUAA
rnacentral:rRNA from 1 species